UGAGGAUUCUCCUGUUAUUGGCCGUUGUGCUGUUUGCUGUAACCAGCUCACUUCAUCUACAUCAUAGAUUUAGACCUAAGGUCCCAUACGAGAUCUGUUAUGGCGGAAUCUGCAGAUAUAGAUGCCCUAUUGGCUCAGCCAUAGUCCAUUGUCACCGAUUCUACUGCUGCACCAGAGUUAGACCCUAUAGAUCCAAGUUCAGGCGUAUCCAGACUCGUUAUCGUGCAGAAUUUAUGGAUGAUGAUGAAGACACAACCAUGAAGCUUUUAUGAUAACUAUGUCUUGUAUAACCUAAUGUGUAAUAAAAUGUGCACAUCUAUAACAAA